CCUACGGGUGGCUGCAGUGGGGAAUAUUGCGCAAUGGGCGAAAGCCUGACGCAGCGACGCCGCGUGAGGGAUGAAGGUCUUCGGAUCGUAAACCUCUGUCAGCAGGGAAGAACGGUCACUGUGCUAAUCAGCAGUGAAUUGACGGUACCUGCAAAGGAAGCACCGGCUAACUCCGUGCCAGCAGCCGCGGUAAUACGGAGGGUGCGAGCGUUAAUCGGAAUUACUGGGCGUAAAGCGCUCGUAGGCGGUAUGUCAAGUCAAGGGUGAAAUCCCCGCGCUCAACGUGGGAACCGCCUUUGAAACUAGCAAACUGGAGUGUGUGAGAGGAUAGUGGAAUUCCAGGUGUAGGAGUGAAAUGCGUAGAUAUCUGGAGGAACAUCAGUGGCGAAGGCGACUAUCUGGCACAUAACUGACGCUGAGGAGCGAAAGCGUGGGUAGCAAACAGGAUUAGAUACCCGAGUAGUC
rnacentral:rRNA from 1 species